rnacentral:rRNA from 1 species
UUAUUUCAUGGAGAGUUUGAUCCUGGCUCAGGACGAACGCUGGCGGCGUGCCUAAUACAUGCAAGUCGAUGCAAGUCGA